rnacentral:rRNA from 1 species
GACGAACGCUGGCGGCGUGCUUAACACAUGCAAGUCGAACGGAAAGGCCCCAUUGGGGGUACUCGAGUGGCGAACGGGUGAGUAACACGUGAGUAACCUGCCCUUGACUUCGGGAUAACUUCAGGAAACUGGGGCUAAUACCGGAUAGGAAUCCUUGCUGCAUGGUGGGGGUUGGAAAGCUUCGGCGGUUUUGGAUGGACUCGCGGCUUAUCAGCUUGUUGGUGGGGUAGUGGCUUACCAAGGCUUUGACGGGUAGCCGGCCUGAGAGGGCGACCGGCCACAUUGGGACUGAGAUACGGCCCAGACUCCUACGGGAGGCAGCAGUGGGGAAUAUUGCACAAUGGGCGGAGGCCUGAUGCAGCAACGCCGCGUGCGGGAUAACGGCCUUCGGGUUGUAAACCGCUUUCAGCAGGGGCGAAGCUUGUGGUGACGGUACCUGCAGAAGAAGCACCGGCUAACUACGUG